rnacentral:lncRNA from 1 species
UAGCUGUCAGAAUGUAAGGAAGAGAAUGUGCUGUCGCAGCUUGGGGUGAAGCUGAAGCCAUGGCCAAAGGUGAGCAAAACCACACAUUAAGAGAGCAGUUAAUAUCCUAGGGUCUCUGAAGGGAAAAAACAGAUGACAAAGGUGGGUGGCAUUCCGGUCAGAAGAUGCUAGCCUCACCAUCAGUUAAGAGAUAGGCUGUUCCUUUAUAGGAAAGGGGAGAAAUGGAACAACACAUCUGAUGUAUGUUCCAUGUCUCUGAUUUUGUCCCCCCGUGUCAUGUUAGUGCUCAGAAGCCUCUGCAGGAGAGGUCCUCCCUGGAGGAAAAAGCCUACAGCUGGCUCGUUUGCAGAACUUUUGUUUGUUGGUAAGAACUCCAAAGCCUCAGAUAUUGAACUCCUUCCAGGCAUACCAGGUUCUUAAAAAGGUGCUUCGAACACCAGCAGGAUCAGCAACACUUGGGACUUUGUUGGAAAUGCACAUCUUAUAUCUCAAUUCAGAACUACCAAAACAAAACAAAACAAAAUUCUGGGGCAGGGCCCAUCAAUCUGUGCUAACAGACUCAAGGGUGCUUCUUAUGUGAUUGUCGUUCUCAUGUGAUUAUCAUUCUCUGUGAUUCUCAUGUGCUAACAUCUCAGAGCUCUACUGUAUCCGGAACAAUGAACCAUUAUGAAUUUACCAUAUUCUGCUUCCUCUGACAGAAAUUUGACCAUACAUCUUUAAUUUAACUCCAUAUUUUUUGUCCUUUUUUUGUUGUUGUUUACUGCAUUUCCUUUAACUAGAAUUAACUUUUUCCAUGUAUGCAUUUUGAGCCUGGGCUCAACUGCGACCAUAUUUCCCCCAGGUUCUUUCAACCUCUAUACCAUUGACAUUUGGGCCCAGAGGUAUUUUGUUGUUCUGGGGGCCUAGCCUGUCAUUCUCAAGUAGUAACCCCAUUGUGAAACCAAAAAUGUAACCAGACUUUGCCAAAUGUCAGGUAGGGGAAAAAUCUCUAUUGGUUACUUCAUGUCCCAAAACCACACUUAAUUUCUCCAGUCUCUGUGCUUCUGGAUAAAUUGGACCUUGAUUAUUUACUAAAUCAGGUUCAGAUAGUUGUAAUUUUUUAAGAAUACAAAAGAACACAUACACACAUAUCUUCAAUAAAUGUAAGAUGCUAUUAAAAUAUAAGACA